rnacentral:rRNA from 1 species
AAUCUGUAUCUAAUAUGCAACAUAAUUAUCUUAGAAUUGAUGACAUAAUGCAACUAGCACAAUCUAAUAAUCACCACCACCAGUAGAGAGAGAAGUAGUGCCCGUACCGCAAACCGACACAGGUAGAUGAGGAGAGAAUCCUAAGGCCGGCGGAAGAAUUGCAGUUAAGGAACUAGGCAAAUUGACCCCGUAAGUUAGCGAGAAGGGGUGCCUGCGAGAGCAGGCCGCAGAGAAUAGGCCCAAGCAACUGUUUAGCAAAAACACAGGUCUCUGCUAAAGCGCAAGCUGAUGUAUAGGGGCUGACGCCUGCCCGGUGCUGGAAGGUUAAGGGGAACACUUAGCGCAAGCGAAGGUGUGAACUUAAGCCCCAGUAAACGGCGGCCGUAACUAUAACGGUCCUAAGGUAGCGAAAUUCCUUGUCAGGUAAGUUCUGACCCGCACGAAUGGCGUAAUGACUUGGGCACUGUCUCAACUGCAAAUCCGGCGAAGUUGUAGUGCGAGUGAAGAUGCUCGCUACCCGCGAUUGGACGGAAAGACCCCGUAGAGCUUUACUGUAGCUUAGCAUUGAAUUCCGGUAUUGUCUGUACAGGAUAGGUGGGAGACUGGGAAACUAGGGCGUCAGCCUUGGUGGAGUCGUCCUUGGGAUACCACCCUGACAGUACUGGGGUUCUAACAGGACGCCAUGAAUCUGGUGACUGGACAUUGUUAGGUGGGCAGUUUGACUGGGGCGGUCGCCUCCUAAAAAGUAACGGAGGCGCCCAAAGGUUCCCUCAGAACGGUCGGAAAUCGUUCGUAGAGUGCAAAGGCAGAAGGGAGCCUGACUGCGAGACCUACAAGUCGAGCAGGGACGAAAGUCGGGCUUAGUGAUCCGGUGGUACCUCGUGGGAGGGCCAUCGCUCAACGGAUAAAAGCUACCUCGGGGAUAACAGGCUGAUCUCCCCCAAGAGUCCACAUCGACGGGGAGGUUUGGCACCUCGAUGUCGGCUCGUCGCAUCCUGGGGCUGUAGUAGGUCCCAAGGGUUGGGCUGUUCGCCCAUUAAAGCGGCACGCGAGCUGGGUUCAGAACGUCGUGAGACAGUUCGGUCCCUAUCCGUCGCGGGCGUAGGAAAUUUGAGAGGAGCUGUCCUUAGUACGAGAGGACCGGGAUGGACUGGCCUCUGGUGCACCAGUUGUUCUGCCAAGAGCAUGGCUGGGUAGCUAAGUCGGGAAGGGAUAAACGCUGAAAGCAUCUAAGCGUGAAGCCUCCCUCAAGAUGAGAUUUCCCAUAGCAUAAGCUAGUAAGACCCCUUGAAGAACACGAGGUUGAUGGGUCAGAGGUGUAAGUGUGGUAACAUAUUUAGCUGACUGAUACUAAUAGGUCGAGGGCUUGAGC